rnacentral:lncRNA from 1 species
GUGAGUCAAAAUCAAAUAAUCUAAGGACUAUUGCAACCUUCACAUGAUAUAUUAAUUAUUCAGAACAAUAUACCAAUUUCUGAAUAUAAUUGCAAUCAUAAUAUAUAAUCAUACACCAUAAUAAUAAAAUGAUAAAAGAAGAGUGUAAAUAAAUAAAGACAUUUUUACUUUCACGGGGCGUGUGGCUAAGUAGAACCCUAACCCCAAAUUCUAACAGCCAUUUUGGCUCUCUUAAUCCAAAUAAGACUGGCGCCCUGAGAGCAAUGCUCGACCAGGGACCUUACCUCCAGUCUGGUCACUUAAGUAUCCAAAUAAGAAAUCUAGUAGCCAUUCGGCUCUCUUAGUCCAAUAAGACUGGCGCCCCGAGAGCAAUGCUCGACCAGGGACCUUACCUCCAGUCUAGUCACUUAAGUAUCCAAAUAAGAAAUCUAGUAGCCAUUCGGCUCUCUUAAUCCAAUAAGACUGGCGCCCCGAGAGCAAUGCUCGACCAGGGACCUUACCUCCAGUCUGGU